rnacentral:rRNA from 1 species
AUGGACCAGUUCCCCGACGGCCACCACGUGCGGCGCGACGACGAGGAUGGGGAGGGCGCCGCCAUACGCCAGAGUCGCGUCUUGCUGAACGGGACUCUGGUCAUCCAUGGCGGCGUCCUGCACACCGGGGCUGCCACAGGCGCGCCCUCACGAGGUGGCGGCGCGGACCUCCGCCCCGGGGAGCUCCGCCGGAGCCUCGCGCCGCUCGACGCGCCUCCCGCGGUCGACUUCCACCACGAGGAAGGCGUGUACACCGGCGCAACCUACGGCUGCCACCUUCGUUUCCAGUUCUUUGCGACUCAACUAUCCCGGCGAGCACCGAUGGACCAGUAUUGGUUCCACGACGGCCACCACGUGCGGCCACGGAGCCGCGGCCUGCUGCGGGACGACGACGACGACGACCGGGAGGACGCCGCCAGACGCCAGAGCGGCGCCUUGCUGAACGUUCCACCGGCCAUCCGCGGCGGUGGCCUACGCGCCGGGGCUUCCGCGGGCGCGCCCGCACCAGGUGGCACGGGCAUCCGCGCCGGGGAGCUCGGCGGGAGCCACGCCCACGCGUCGCUGGGCGCGCCUCUCGCGGCCGACUUCCACGACGGCGACGUCGUCUACCUUGGCGCCUGCUUCUUUCCGACUCAGCGAUCCCCGCGGGCACCGAUGGACGGCGACGGGCAGCACGUGCGGCCGCGGAGCCGCGCGCUUCUGACCGACGACGAGGAUGACGGCAACCUCGCCGCCACGGGCGGGUCUCGUGCUGGCCGCCGGAUCUUGGGGCGGCAGCAGUACUUGGUGCAGCGCCGCCGCGGCGACUCCGGCAGCGGCGGGGUCGCCCUCAUCCGCACAGGGAGGCUGGUUUGCUGCUUCGGGUCGGCAGACGAUGGCAACGACGCUAUGCUCAGCACGAGUGCUAACGCCAUCACGGCCAGCACCGCUGCUUCAGCUGAUGUCGGGGGAGUGAAGGCGGCGAUGGACGUGAUGUUGGCGCGUGGGAGGUACGACGGGGGCGGGGUGGCGAUCCGACUCAGGGUGGCCACCGACAUUGGGGCCACAUACUGGUUUCUUGAGAUGAAGGACUGGAUCGGCGAGCUCAUGGGUUCACCACGACAGUAUCGACCGAUGGAGUCGUGGAGCUGGAUAGAUAUUAUGGGACGUCCAAUCGGCCAGGACAAGGGCUCGUGCGCGCUGAGCGCCUGCCUGAUGUGCUUGGAGGCCCAGCACCGGCUGGCUUUUGAGAGGAGGCACGGCAGCGAUACAUUUCCGUAUGCCAUCCCUCGUGAGACGGCCGGAGACUUGCUGGUGACAUGCAAGAAGUCCGGCGUGUGGACACGUAAGGAAGGCGCCAUUGUUGGCAAGGUGCUGGAGGCAAUACAGCGGAACGGCGGGGCUGUGGCUUGGCACGAGGAAGGCUUGGAGCACUGCCAGCUACAGAUCAAGUCAUGGGAGCGACUGCCCUCACUAUCCAGCUCCAGCCUCGCGCGUAUCAUGCGCACAGAGGGCCCACUCAUUGGUUGCUUGGACGUUGUACGAGCAGAUUACUACGCCCCUGGGUGGCAGACGCGAGUGUACACAGGAGGGUCGGGCAAGAAGAAGGCGGUGGGUCACGGUGUGGUUUGCAUGGAGUACCGACUGGACGGCGAGCUGAUCCGGGUGGUCGACAACCACAACUGGCAAGGGCCUGUUCGCUGGAUCUCAAAGACCGCCUUCUGGGGCUUUACCCAGAUCAAGGUUGAGCCUUUGGACGCCGGCGCUCUCGGCAUUGAGGUGAGCUGGCGGCGCCGCCUGCUGCGCAUGCUCUGGAGGGAAGAGACCUUCUGGUGGCGCCAGCGCCGUACUCUCAGCGAGGUUUGGAACAUGCACCACUAG